rnacentral:rRNA from 1 species
UGUUGCAGUUAAAAAGCUCGUAGUUGGAUGUGUGCGACGUCGCACGAAUCGGCCCGGCAGGAUGCCGCGCGCCGUUCUCGCGUCGCAUUCCGCGUCGCUGCGCCGCGCGCGCACGUUAGCUCGUGCGCGCGUGCUACAAGGCGCACGGCGCCGUUUACUUUGAGAAAAUGAGAGUGCUCCAAGCAGCCGAACACCAGUUCGGGCGUUGUAUCAUGCAGCAUGGGAUAAUGGAACAGGAUCUCGCUUCGUGUUUCCGUUGGUCUUGGUGGCGAGGUAAUGAUUAACAGAAACGGGCGGGGGUACUGGUAUUCACAUGUCAGAGGUGAAAUUCUUGGAU